UUUAAGGGGGAAAAGGAAAGAAUUUCAAUGAUCAUUAGGUACUCAUCAAAAUUUCCAUACACAACAUUAUGUAUUUCAGCCGUCUACAGGAAAUUUUGCGCUAUCCGGCGUGAAAUUGCAGGCCCUUUAUGGGCUAGGUUUACAGCAGUAUUGCUGCAUGAAAAUCAUACUGUACCUGUUUUAUUGGAACCCGCCUUUAGUAUAUCAGAUGAUAUAUGUGGCAAUGCUAGCAUACUUACCUGGUACAGGGGCUACCGUGAUCAGGAACGGCGGUGCCCCCAGGUCGAGGCCUAACCAUUGCACUCCGGUCGGGCUGAACCCUGCGAUAAUCCCAAAUGCGGAUUACUCGGGUACGCUAUUUUUUAGUGUGGGGGUCUGCGUUCGCGCUAACCCCUGUUCAUAAAGUAACAAGAGAACAACAAUGCCCACGUAUAUAGCGACAUUCAACGCUACAUUUACACUUAAUCAACAUGCUUUAUGGUAUUGGUUUCCUAAGAAAAUGAUAAACCAGCAACACAAAGAAUGCUACAGAGUACCAAACACAGUAUAAUUCAACACGUUCAAGCUUUAUAAUUUCCAAACGAAUGGCAAUCGUAAUUUCAUAAUGCAUUCACAUUAUGUAUGAUCUCUUAACAUCACCGAAAACUAUUUUAAUAGUGGUAGCAUUUGCUCCGGGUAUCAUGCAAAAUAUAUUCUUCACAUGUCACACAAGGUAGCACACUACAGUAGGACAGCCUGGCCAUGGGCGAUUUUUUUUGUUAAGCAAAUAACUCCUGUAUUAUGAUAUGCAUAAAAAUGAAAAAAUAAAUGUACACUAUAAUUGGUAUAUUCAGUAUGAAGUAGUACAUACAUGCUUCACAUUUGUUAAAACAAAAUUUAAUGAAUUGGUUCCCGAUUUUAAAUUUCAGGAUUUUCCGAAAGCGCGUUUACAGAGGAAAUUUAGUUUUGCCUACAGCGAAAAUGGAAGUCCACAGUCAAGAAUUGGGCAUUCUUACUGUACACUGCUACCACAAUCAAAAUUGUCUCUGAAAGGUGUUUUAGACGACUCAAUCUGAGGCAGACGAAAGCGUCAACGAAUCUUCGUAUUUCUCUGUGACUGGACAGCGCUUACAUGCAAUCAAACUUUCCAUACACAACAUUAUGUAUUUCAGUUUCUGUCUACGGGAAAUUUUGCGCUGUCAGGCGAGAAAUUGCCGGCCCUAUUUGAGCUAGGUUUACAACAGUAUUGCUGCAUGAACAUUCUACUGUACCUCUUUUAUUGAAACCAGGCUUUCAAAGAAUUUACAUGUCGUACUAUUGAUCGAGUUCUACGUAUUCAAAGUAUUUCAAUAUGUUCCAUUCCCGUUGUCCCUUGAACAUCACUGACAUUAAAACUAAAGUUAUUGAAUUGAAAA